AUUUAAUGCAAAGUAUCUUUGGUCAUCUUUCUGUGUCUUGCUAUCUUUUUUCCAUACAAUAUACUUCUGAUCAUGCCCCAACCCCAUUUCCUUAUUUUAUUGAGAUAGGGUCUCAAGUGUCCCCGGCUGGGCUCUAACUCAAGGAUGAUCCUGAAUUUCUCUGCUCCUGCCUCCACCCACAAUGCACCGGGGUUAUAGGCUUGCACCACCAUAAAGGUUUAUGUGUAGCUGGGGAUGGAACACAGGGCUCCAAGUGUGCCAGGCAAGCGCUCUUCCAACUGAGCCACAUCUCAUAACCUUUUUGAAAUUGAAAUCAGAGACCAUUUUUUUCAUGUAUAUCUUCAGAAAAAAAAAAAAACCCCACUCAGGCACAUAAUCAGCUGUGUUAAGUCGGAGAAACUAGUACCAGAGAGUUUUUCUCCCUGAAUACUCAAAAUAGCUUUAUUUUCAAAAUUCUUACUUUGCUCAGCCUGACAGAAGGAUGUCUCCAAGGUAAACUGAGGCACGUGGUGAGGAGUGUUUGUGGUUAGACCUGGAGGCAUGGGGGAUGGGGUAGGGAAGUCCUUUCAGGGCAGGGCUAAUGAUGUGGCAGAGUUUUUUAGGAGAGCACACUUGCUAGGGGAAGGAACGGGGCCAAAUAACAGUUUUGGAUGCAGAGUAGAUGUCUUUGUAGAUACAUACCUCUAUAGAUUACAGGGCUAUCUGGCUAGGCUUCUUGUCACUCCUUUAAUGGCCAGGCUGGCUUAGAUGCUCUGCUCAGCCUCUUUCCUCACCCUCCUCAUGCCUUCCCCCAGAGCCUCCCCUCUGUUAAGUACUCUGUUCCUUAAUCAAGGGAACUGCAAAACAACUGAGUUUUCAGCUCAGCCUCCAAAUAAACCCUGCGGUUGUCAGGCAGUGGAAGCCAAUGCCAACAACAACCCCUCUGUCACCCACAUCCUUUCAGAAAGGGGGAAGGCCAUCAAGGAGGAGUGGCCAGGCUGUUGGGUGAGAGCCAGGGAGAAAGAACCAGUUGUUAGAAGCCCACCAUCCUCCCCUGGUGCAGGGAGGGGGUAGGCGGACGGACUGAAUGAAGCAGGCGCUUCUGACUCCAGCCGCCAUCCCAGGGGCACAGACAGAGGGCAAGAAACAGGGCACAGAGCCAGCCGCACCAGGAACAGAGGGCCGUUCAGCUGAGCUGAUGACAGACCCCCACCUAUUAGCCUGAGGGCAGGUGUCUGGUCCUCCUGCCCUUAAGUUACCCGCCAGCAAGCACGCGGUUCUGAGCCGCUUGUAUUUAGGUCCUGGCCUGCCCCCUUUCGGUCUCCAGUUAAGAGGCUUCAGUUCUGGAAAUCAAAGUUCUGAAUGGGCACUGUGUAGAUACCUAGGAGUAGAAUGUACUCGGGGCUUGCGUGUUUCUUGUGAGAGCCCCUGGGGAGGCUAAGAAAGCGGCUAGCUUAUGAUAGGAGAUAGGAGUGCGCAGGGCGUCCCAGCUCAAAAGACUCUUCGCUUGACCGGAGGUGGGGCUCUUUCAAAGAUGUAUGAACUCACAGUAAUUGUCUCCCUGAAAUUCAAGGCCAAAGCAAAGCAAAGCAAAGCAAAACCAGAAACAAAACAAAACAAAACGAAAAUCACAGCCUCCGGCCACCCUGAGACCUUUCCACAAACUAGUGUUUGUGGGUUCCCUCGGUGCUUUGAAGGCGUGGAUUUUGUGCAGUCCAGCCCUGGAAAAACCGUUGUCUCUGAAGUGAAACAUGCAGGCCUGAAAGUGUCCGGUGGGCUCUUCGCAGAAAUGUUGUAAGAUGGCAGGUCUCAGAAGACAGGAAUGAGGUAGCCGCGGUCCCUCGGGCUCCUGACGGGGUAUCUUCUCAGGAUAAGUGCUCUUUCCGUAUCUCUCCCUGGGGCACGGCUACAGGGAUAGAGGUCACUACUUGGUUCUGAAACACGAAGAUUUUGAUUCUUUCAAACACCCAGAGGAAGAUCAGCAGGAUGCUGACAUACUGGAUCCAGGCGAACUUGAUCAUCUCCCAGAACCCUGGCUGGUAAGUACAAGGCGCUAAGGAGACUACACACGUAAGACGCCGUUACCCGGAAGGAGGCAACAGCUACACGUAAGACGCCGUUACCCCGGAGCUCAGAAUGCCUUGCUGCCAGAAACAGUUGUGAUGCCUUUAGGGAAAAUGUCAGACCGCCAGCCAGCCUGGUGUACUGACUCAAGCCUAAGGCUGCUCCUUUAGGGAACAGUCAGAUCUGCGGGCGCCUCUCUUCUACCAGCCUACACACCAUCCGCCGCUGUCUGGGAAGUGAGGACAGGAAGUUGUCCCUGACUUCUUUUACAGGCUUACUUGUUGAGCUUGUGAUCGUCCUGUCUCAGCUCUGUGAGGAGCAGAUGGUACAGCCAUGCACCGCUAUGCCCAGCUAGACACUGUUGACAUAAAACCCAGAGCAAAUGAGUCCUUCGAGGCCAACAGAGUGCACGAGAUCACCCGAACCUGGAAUUACAGGUGGCUGUUCCCUGCCUGGGAUGGCUACUGGGAACUGAAUGAAGCACUAAAACCACUGAGCCGUCCCUCCAGUACCAGUGAUUAACACUAGCUGCUCUUCCGGAGGACCAAGAUUUGAUUCCCAGCACACACAUGAUGGCCUACAACCUUCCAUCAACUCCGGUUCCAGGGAUCGCACACCUUCUUCUUUUAGCCUCCAUGUGCACUGCAUUCACGUGGUACACAGCCAUAUAUACAGGCAAAAUAAAAUGCUCAUACACACAAAAAAUAAUAAAUUAAGUUUUUU
rnacentral:lncRNA from 1 species